ACAAUGAAGAGUUUGAUCCUGGCUCAGCAUGAACGCUAGCGGCAGGCUUAACACAUGCAAGUCGAGGGGCAGCAUGAUUUGUAGCAAUACAAAUUGAUGGCGACCGGCGCAAGGGUGUGUAACGCGUGAGCAACAUGCCCUGUUCAGGAGGAUAACCCGGAGAAAUUCGGACUAAUACUCCAUAGUAUUGAGAUGAGGCAUCUUAUUUCAAUUAAAGUUUCGAUGGAACAGGAUUGGCUCGCGUGACAUUAGCUAGAUGGUAGGGUAACGGCCUACCAUGGCGACGCUGUCUAGGGGAACUGAGAGGUUGAUCCCCCACACUGGAACUGAGACACGGUCCAGA
rnacentral:rRNA from 1 species